rnacentral:rRNA from 1 species
UACGAAGGGGGCUAGCGUUGCUCGGAAUCACUGGGCGUAAAGCGCACGUAGGCGGCUUCUUAAGUCAGGGGUGAAAUCCUGGAGCUCAACUCCAGAACUGCCUUUGAUACUGAGGAGCUUGAGUCCGGGAGAGGUGAGUGGAACUGCGAGUGUAGAGGUGAAAUUCGUAGAUAUUCGCAAGAACACCAGUGGCGAAGGCGGCUCACUGGCCCGGUACUGACGCUGAGGUGCGAAAGCGUGGG